GACGAACGCUGGCGGCGCGCUUAAUACAUGCAAGUCGAGCGAGAACCAGGGCUUCGGCCCUGGGGACAGCGGCGAACGGGUGAGUAACACGUGGAUAACCUACCCUCGGCACCGGAAUAGCCCGGGGAAACUCGGAUUAAUGCCGGAUAGCCCCACAUCCUCUCGAGGAACGUGGGAAAAGGUAGCUUCGGCCUCUGGCCGGGGAUGGGUCCGCGGUGGAUUAGCUUGUUGGUGCGGGUAAUGGCCCACCAAGGCGACGAUCCAUAGCUGGUCUGAGAGGACGAUCAGCCACACUGGGACUGAGACACGGCCAGACUCCUACGGGAGGCAGCAGUAGGGAAUCUUGCGCAAUGGGCGAAAGCCUGACGCAGCGACGCCGCGUG
rnacentral:rRNA from 1 species